GAGGAACUCAGCACGUCAGGCAGCAUCUAGAAAGAAGUAAGGAGUCGACAUUUCAAGCUGAAAUCCUUCAUCAGGACUCCUGGUGUCCAGACAAACAACAUACCUCCUCAGCCCGAAAUCUAUCAAUAUCAGCGUCCGCAAACAAUCUGGAGAGUCACCAAUAUGAGAGGAGGAAAAUGGUCAAGCAAAGGAAGUCUGAAGCAAAACGGGUGGCUGAAUAAUACAAAAGAAACAGCAGCAACAAAAUAGAAGCGAGCACUGCUAAUUUUGCAAAGACAGCACGCCAGGAAAGGGGAAAAGAAAGAGAAGAACGGCAGGCAGAAAUGGCCAGUCUGAUACAAAAAGAAAGAAAGAUCGAGCUUUCAAAAAUGUGGAGAACUUGAUAUUGCGACGUACAAGGAGCAAGGUGACCAGAGAGAAGGUGAUGUGCUGCUCCUCAAGCUAGCAUUGGGCCUCAUUGUAACAGCACCGAAGGCCAGAGACACAGAGAUCAGGGUGGGAGUAGGAUGAGGAAUUAAAGUGAUGCGCAGCAAAAAGCUCAGGAUCUCUCUGCAAAGGCUGUCUCUUCCUCUUUAAAGUUUACA